AUUCUUCUCGCGACAACCUGCGGAGGGAUCAUUACUGAGUUUACGCUCUACAACCCUUUGUGAACAUACCUAUAACUGUUGCUUCGGCGGGUAGGGUCUCCGUGACCCUCCCGGCCUCCCGCCCCCGGGCGGGUCGGCGCCCGCCGGAGGAUAACCAAACUCUGAUUUAACGACGUUUCUUCUGAGUGGUACAAGCAAAUAAUCAAAACUUUUAACAACGGAUCUCUUGGUUCUGGCAUCGAUGAAGAACGCAGCGAAAUGCGAUAAGUAAUGUGAAUUGCAGAAUUCAGUGAAUCAUCGAAUCUUUGAACGCACAUUGCGCCCGCCAGCAUUCUGGCGGGCAUGCCUGUUCGAGCGUCAUUUCAACCCUCAAGCUCUGCUUGGUGUUGGGGCCCUACAGCUGAUGUAGGCCCUCAAAGGUAGUGGCGGACCCUCCCGGAGCCUCCUUUGCGUAGUAACUUUACGUCUCGCACUGGGAUCCGGAGGGACUCUUGCCGUAAAACCCCCAAUUCUCCAAAGGUGACCUCGGAUCAGGUAGGAAUACCCGCGAAUUAG
rnacentral:rRNA from 1 species